rnacentral:ncRNA from 1 species
GGGUUGGGCUGUUCGCCCAUUAAAGCGGUACGCGAGCUGGGUUCAGAACGUCGUGAGACAGUUCGGUCCCUAUCUGUCGUGGGCGCAGGAGAUUUGAGGGGACUCGUCCCUAGUACGAGAGGACCGGGAUGAACAGACCUCUGGUGUAUCAGUUGUCGUGCCAACGGCACCGCUGGAUAGCUACGUCUGGAUCUGAUAACUGCUGAAAGCAUCUAAGCGGGAAGCAGACCCCGAGAUGAGAUCUCCCACUAGGUAACUAGGUAAGACCCCUGGUAGACCACCAGGUUGAUAGGCUGGAUGUGUAAGGGCAGUAAUGUCUUCAGCAGACCAGUACUAAUCGGUCGAGGUCUUGACUUA